rnacentral:rRNA from 1 species
GAUGAACGCUGGCGGCGUGCCUAAUACAUGCAAGUCGAGCGAACAGAUAAGGAGCUUGCUCCUUUGACGUUAGCGGCGGACGGGUGAGUAACACGUGGGUAACCUACCUAUAAGACUGGGAUAACUUCGGGAAACCGGAGCUAAUACCGGAUAACAUUUGGAACCGCAUGGUUCUAAAGUGAAAGAUGGUUUUGCUAUCACUUAUAGAUGGACCCGCGCCGUAUUAGCUAGUUGGUAAGGUAACGGCUUGCCAAGGCGACGAUACGUAGCCGACCUGAGAGGGUGUUCGGCCACACUGGAACUGAGACACGGUCCAGACUCCUACGGGAGGCAGCAGUAGGGAAUCUUCCGCAAUGGGCGAAAGCCUGACGGAGCAACGCCGCGUGAGUGAUGAAGGGUUUCGGCUCGUAAAACUCUGUUAUUAGGGAAGAACAAACGUGUAAGUAACUGUGCACGUCUUGACGGUACCUAAUCAGAAAGCCACGGCUAACUACGUG